CUUAAAAGGCAGGAAGGUGAGAAGUGGCAUAAGUUUAAGUUGUAGUACUAGAAGUAGUAUGAUAAGAAGUCAAGUCGUGAUACUAGUAGUCAUGUCAGCAGUAGAAGUAGUUUGAGAAUAAAAGAACUAUAGCAAUAGCAGUUGAAGUAGAGAAAGUAGAAAUAGGAGCAAUAGCAGUUGAAGUAGAGGGGAAAGUACUAGUUAAAUUGACAUUAGCAGUAGUUGUCGUACUUGAGGUAGGAUUUUGUUUGAAGGAUGGAGUAAUGCAUGAAUAUUAAAACUAAUUUAAAACAUGGAAAAUUUAAAUACUUAAAAAUCCUCAAGUAUCAGUUUGAAUGAGUUUAAAUUAGUUUGAAAAAUUAAAUGAUAAAUCAUCAAUGAGUGACUUAUAAAAGUGAAAAAUGUAAAUGAAUAUAAAUCCUGAAUACACCCCAUAAUGUCCUCAAUGAGCUUAAAUUUUAAAGCCCUGAAUGGUUUCUGUAGGUCAAAGGUCAUGUGAGGAGAUAGGGGCUGAAGUUUUUUCAAGCGCUCUAGGAAAGGGUUUUAAGUGUCAUCCCCAGUGCUAUGUGUACUGAGCCUGGCUUCAUGUGUCUCAUAUGGCCAUUAGAAGCAGCUUUCCAGUCAGCUGUGUGUCUCCAGGUGCACAAAUUGGUUGCCAUGGGGACCUUGGAUGCAUAACUAUAGCAGGAGAAAGAAGGCUUGAAGCUAAGGAAACAGGACUCCAAGUAGGCCCUGACGCUCAUCCUCUGUAUAUAUUCAUGAUAAGGAGCUUGUGAGAACACAAGACUCUGCUGAACACAUUAAUACAAUUUAUUAUCACAAUCCUCAAAACACCCCAUAAUAUCUUCAAUGAGCUGAAUUUUUCAAGCCCAGAAUGGUUUCUGUAGCUCAAAGUUUGUGGGUGGAGAUAGGUGGUGAAGCAGACACAUAUUAACUGUGUGUACAAGCAGCUGAACUGCAAGGUAGACCUGACAAUGCAACAAGUACAAGAAUGUGUGUGUGUGUGUGUGUGUGUGUGUGUGUGUGUGUGUGUGUGUGUGUGUGUGUGUCUCGUUAAUGACUGCAUCCUAAACAGCUGUGAGAUCAAAGGCAAAUCACUGACCUACUGUUUGACUGAGAGGUGCUGAACUGCUGAGGAUUUAUAGCCUCUGAACUUCUUCACAUAGCGUGAUUUCCUUAAGUCCCAGAAUGAAAAUAAGAACAUCGUACGAAUCCUCCGCCCUUCAUGAACACAAUGAUGUGUUUUUCAUGUCUGUACUCCGAAAAAUGUGGCCACAACAGCGAGUUAAAAAAGUCUGAGCCUGAGUGGGGAUAAGGAUUUUCUUGGAGAAGAAAUACAUUAGGUCUAAUGGGGAGAGAUUUCCGCCUAUUUGGACAGUUGGUCACCUGCUGGCCAAGGAGUACCAUUUAAUGAUUCGAAACCUCUUUUGUAAGAAGCAGGACACAUAUACCUCCAUUUUGAUGUAUUUUUUAUGGCUGUGGAGUGAGAUUUGUGGGCGUGGGAGCGAUAUAUUUGAGCGAGGUUCUGUCGAUCAGAGACGAGGUCUGCACUCUAGCUUUUCAAAUCAUCACUCUAGCCUCUCCAAUACACCCCCAUUAUAAAGCCUGAAAAUUGCUGAAAACCACGAGGUGCUUCAAGCUAAAUUGGGGGAAAACUGUAGAAGAUAGCACAAAAAAGUUAAUACAACAUCAAUAGUCGACAAGUGAAUGAACAUUUUAAAGCAAAAAUGAGGUCUCUAGGUGAAAGUAUGCUGAAGUUAUAAGGCUUAGAAGGUGGAAGAAGAAAAAGAAGAAUUGGAAGAUUUCCCCAUUCAUUUCUAUGGGAAAAAAAGUUUGAGACAAAAAGUGAAAAAUAAUAAAAAGUAUAAAGGGUAGAAAAGAGAAAAGUAAUAGCCAUCAUGUCCCGAUGGAGUGUAAUAGUUUAAAGUUUGAACGGUUGAAAUCGGACAAAGUUUGAAGGAGGAGAAGCGGUCCAAAGAAACGUAUGGGGAGAGUGUUAAGUAUAAUACUAGAAAAAUUGCAUUUCCUUGCAGAAAAUGCGUGGAAAUGCUGAGUGCUGAAAGCUGAAAAAGCAAUGCUAAACUGCUAAUAAAACAUGGAGAAAGGUAUAAAUGUUAAAGCUGUUGAAGGGGUGAACAGAAAUAUAAGUUGGAUAAUUGAUUAAUUGGUUGAAGGACAAAUAGUAUGAAUAUGCUCUAUAAAAGGAAAUUUUAUUCAUGCUGAAAGAGGCUAGAAAAAUGUCGAAAAUUGCACAAAGUUUUAAUGAAGAAGGAAAUUGCCUUAAAAGGCAGGAAGGUGAGAAGUGGCAUAAGAUUCAGUUGUAGUACUAGAAGUAGUAUGAUAAGAAGUCAAGUCGUGAUACUAGUAGUCAUGUCAGCAGUAGAAGUAGAUUGAGAAUAAAAGAAGUAUAAGUCAAAGUAGUAAAGAAAGUAGAAAUAGGAGCAAUAGCAGUUGAAGUAGAGGGGAAAGUUCUAGUUUAAUUGACAUUAGCAGUAGUUGUCGUACUUGAGGUAGGAUUUUGUUUGAAUGAUGGAGUAAUGCAUAAAUAUUAAAACUAAUUUAAAACAGGGAAAAUUUAAAUUAUCAAAAGUCCUCAAGUAUCAGAAAGUUUUGAAGUAUUAGAAAGGUUUGAAUCAGUUUGAAUGAGUUUAAAUUAGUUUGAAAAAUUAAAUGAUAAAUCAUCACUGAGUGACUUUUAAAAUGUGAAAAAUUUAAAUGAAUAACAAUCCUAAAUACACCCAAUAAUGUCCUCAAUGAGCUUAAAUUUCAAAGCCCUGAAUGGUUUCUGUAGGUCAAAGGUCAUGUGAGGAGAUAGGGGCUGAAGUUUUUUCCAACGCUCUAGGAAAGGGUUUUAAGUGUCAUCCCAAUUGCUAUGUGUACUGAGCCUGGCUUCAUGUGUCUCAUAUGGCCACUAGAAGCAGCUUUCCAGUCAGCUGUGUGUCUCCAGGUGCACAAAUUGGUUGCCAUGGGGACCUUGGAUGCAUAACUAUAGCAGGAGAAAGAAGGCUUGAAGCUAAAGAAACAGGACUCCAAGUAGGCCCUGACGCUCACCCUCUGUAUAUAUUCAUAAGGAGCUUGUGAGAACACAAGACUCUGCUGAACACAUUAAUACAAUUUAUUAUCACAAUCCUCAAAACACCCCAUAAUAUCUUCAAUGAGCUGAAUUUUUGAAGCCCAGAAUGGUUUCUGUAGCUCAAAGUUUGUGGGUGGAGAUAGGUGGUGAAGCAGACACAUAUUAACUGUGUGUACAAGCAGCUGAACUGCAAGGUGGACCUCAAAAAGCAACAAGUACAAGAAUGUGUGUGUGUGUGUGUGUGUGUGUGUGUGUGUGUGUGUGUGUGUGUGUGUGUGUGUGUGUGUGUGUAUGUGUGUCUCGUUAAUGAUUGCAUCCUAAACAGCUGUGAGAUCAAAGGCAAAUCACUAACCAACUGUUUGACUGAGAGGUGCUGAACUGCAGUGAAUUUCAGCCUGUGAACUUCUUCACAUAGCGUGAUUUCCUUAAGUCCCAGAAUGAAAAUAAGAACAUCGUACGAAUCCUCCGUCCUUCAUGAACACAAUGAUGUGUUUUUCAUGUCUGUACUUCGAAAAAUGAGGCCACAACAGCGAGUUAAAAAAGUCUGAGCCUGAGCGAUGAUCCGGAUUUUCCUGGAGAAAAAUAACAUUAUGGUCAAUGGGAGAGAUUUCCGCCUUUUUUGGACAGUUGGUCACCUGCUGGCCAAGGGGUACGAUUUAAUGAUUUGAAACCUCUUUUGUGAGAAGCAGGACACAUAUACCUCCAUUUUGAUGUAUUAUUUGUGUCAGUGGAGUGAGAUUUGUGGGCGUGGGAGCGAUAUAUUCGAGCGAGGUUCUGUCGAUCAGAGACGAGGUCUGCACUCUAGCUGAUGACAUCAUCACUCUAAACUCUCCAAUACACACCCAUUAUAAAGCUUGAAAUUUGCUGAAAACCACAAGUUGCUUAAAGCUAAAUUGUGGAAAAACUGUAAAAGAUAUCAAAAAACUGAGUACAACUUUAAUAGUCGACAAGUGAAUGAACAUUUUAAAGCAAAAAUUAGGUCUCUAGGUGAAAGUAUGCUGAAGUUAUAAGGUCUAGAAGGUGGAAGAGGAAAAGGUAGAUUUUAAGAUUUCCCCAUUCAUUUUUAAUGGUACAAAUUUUGCACAAAAAGUUAAAAAAAACAAAAAGUAUAAAGGGUAGAAAGGAAAAAAAUAGACGCCAUAAUGUCCUGAAUGAGUGGAAUAGUUUAAAGUUUGAACGGUUGAAAUCGGACAAAGUUUGAAGGAGGAGAAGCGGUCCAAAAAUCGGCGGAAGAAUAAUAAUAAGUUUAAUAAAGAAACAGGAGAAUAACAAUAAGUGGAAAUGCUUAAUCAGCAUUUCCACUUAACUAGAAAAAUUGCAUUUCCUUGCAGAAAAUGCGUGGAAAUGCUGAGUGCUGAAAGCUGAAAAAGCAAUGCUAAACUGCUAAUAAAACAUGGAGAAAGGUAUAAAUGUUAAAGCGUUUGAAGGGGUGAAAAAGAAAUGUAAGUUGGAUAAUUGAUUAAUUGGUUGAAGGACAAAUAGUAUGAAUAUGCUCUAUAAAAGGAAAUUUUAUUCAUGCUGAAAGAGGCUAGAAAAAUGUCUAAAAUUGCACAAAGUUUGAAUGAAGAAGGAAACUGCCUUAAAAGGCAGGAAGUUGAGAAGUGGCAUAAGUUUAAGUUGUAGUACUAGAAGUAGUAUAGGAGGUCAAGUCGUGAUACUAGUAGUCAUGUCAGCAGUAGAAGUAGUUUGAGAAUAAAAGAAGUAUAAGUCACAGUAGUAGAGAAGGUAGAAAUAGGAGCAAUAGCAGUUGAAGUAGAGAAAGUAGAAAAAGG